UACGUAGGGGGGCGAGCGUUGUCCGAAGUUACUGGGCGUAAAGCGCGCGUAGGCGGUCAAUUAAGUCUGGGGUGAAAGGUUCAACGCUCAACGUGAACAGUGCCUUGGAUACUGGUUGACUUGAAUCUGGGAGAGGGUAGUGGAAUUCCUGGUGUAGCGGUGAAAUGCGUAGAUAUCAGGAGGAACACCCAUGGCGAAGGCAGCUACCUGGCCUAAGAUUGACGCUGAGGUGCGAAAGCGUGGGGAGCAAACGGG
rnacentral:rRNA from 1 species